AGGGGGAGCAAAUCAGUUCGGCCAGUAUUCUCGUUCAGCGCGGACGAUCCCGGAAUAGUUUACGAGACGUGGAACGCGUCACAAUUUUCAUUUCAGUCAUAAUAACAAUAAUAAUUGCAAUAAUAGGUCGCGACCGGCCGAGAGAAUGUGGGAUUGAGACAGAAGAGCAAAAGAAACACGAGUUUUUAAAAACUAUGGUAUCGUGGUGAUUCGAUAGUGUCUGUAAUUGUAGAUAAAAUAUCAGAGGGCGCGCAUGUUGUUCUGUCAAAGAUACAACCACUUGGAGAAGCAAAAGAUCAAGAUAAACUAGUAAAUGAAGUGCGACAAGAAAAAAAGCAACGAUUAUAAAAGUUUCCGAUUGAAAUUUCUCGUGCAAAACCUCUUAGAAUUUUGAUCCGAAAUAAUUUUGUUUUCAUCUGUGUAACGUUGAAAAAAAUAUUACAAAGAUAACGACAAAUUGUACAGACGACAGUGGAAUCGUCUGAAGGAGAGGAAAAAUAAUAGUGAAAACUUGGCUCAAGAAUCUAAAGUCAACCAUCGGUGCUCAGUAGUAUUCUUUUAUUCCGUCAGACGUCUCGAACCUUUUUCCAUACAUCCUCGUCCCCCUCUCUCUUCCUCUCCUCAUUUUCUAACUACGGUAUUACGAAAUAUCGAGGAUUUUACCGUUGCGAAGUUCCGAGUUGGUUCAUUAUUGGUUUCGAAAAAGUAAUAAAUAAAUCGUGAAUAGUUGAAAAAUAGCAAAAGCACAAGGAUUAAACGAAGAUGGAAGUGACGGAAGAGCCGACGAGCACAGAAGUGGAGACGAGCGACGGUCUCGUCGAGGAACCCGACGAUCAUGGCACAACCGUCGAAGAAGCUGAUGAUAAUGGUGCGACCGUCGAGGAAGAAUACGAAAUUACAACCACCAGACGAAAAACUGUUAGAACCAGUUACAAAAUUCAAGAGACAUCGGCAACCCACAAAACAACCACCAUGACAACCGCAGCAAAGCUGUAUGGCAAAGAUCUCAGCGAAUAUGACGAUGUGGACGUCGACGAACUUCUCGAUCAGCUUACGCCUGAAGAAAUCAACAUAUUGGCAAAAGAAGUUGAUCCCGAUGACAGUUUUAUGCCACCAUCGGAACGUUGCAGCUACGAGUGCGACAAGAGUCCAACGGGGCCGUUGAACCGCAAGAAACUCAUCGAGCACAUCAACAAACAAGCGUUAGAGACACCUGAUAUUCCUGAACUGAAGCCUUAUGUGCCCGGCGUCGUGAGAGGAAAGAAAUGGGUACCACCGCCGCAAGAUAACAUCAAAGAAAAAGAGGCUGAGGAGCAAAUAGCUAUCGAUCUCGGUGACGAGUACGAACACGCACUGUCUUCGGCUACUCAAGAAGAGAUCAUUGACCUUGCUGCCAUUCUUGGUUUUCACUCGAUGAUGAAUCAGGAUCAAUAUCAUGCGUCUCUCUUAAAUUCCGGCCAACCAGUUGGUAUGGGUUGGGAUGGUAUAACGAAAGCGAGUCAACCAAAAGUUUUUCCUAUGGAUCCACCAAACGAUACCGAUGUUGAUUCGACGAUUAGACAAGUCCGCGAGGAUGAUCAUACAUUAAUGGAUCUCAAUUGGAAUAACAUCAAAAAUAUUUCAGAAGAAAAGUUCCUACAGCUUUUCGAAGCCCUGGAAGUGAACACACACCUGGAAACGUUGAGCCUGACAAACGUUGGUCUUACCGACAGAACGGCACAAAGAUUGGCAGAAGCCAUGGAAAAGAAUUCGACUCUAAGAGUCCUCAAUGUUGAAACGAAUUUCAUUAGUCCAACUGUGAUGGUGAGGCUAAUAAGAGCGCUAUUGAAAACCAAAUCUAUCGAGGAAUUUCGAUGCUCAAAUCAGAGGUCGCAAGUGUUGGGUAACAAAAUCGAAAUGGAAAUCACGCAGCUGGUCGAACAAAAUCCAACGUUAUUGCGAUUGGGUUUGCACCUUGAGUUCAACGAUGCAAGACAUCGCGUUGCUGCUCAUCUGCAGCGUAAUAUCGACAGGAUACGGAAAGACCUAACGCAGCGGCUACAGUUCAGAUUCUUUAACAUGAACCACAGGAAACCCGCCCUAAUUCAGUGAAGUACGGCAGUCCCGGCUCGAGGUGGCGACAUCUUUAUCCGAUUUGACGCUCGCCUAGGUCGUUUGCGUCGAAUGGGAAGGGCUUCUCGAGACUACACCGUCGGCUGGGCGAUGCACUGAUCCUCGAACAACACGCAAUAUGCAAUAAACCGAAAGAGAUGAACAAGAAUUUCAACGUCACACUUGCAAGAAGAAUGGAAAUGGAAAAUUCGAGCGUUACUAACAAGAUCUUUUUUCAUACGCGCACAGUUGUGUACAUAUGCAUAUAUCUACAUAUAUAUUUAUUUGUAUAUAUGGGGUAUAUAUAUAAUUGUAAUAACAAUGCCGCGAAUAGCGCAGGAAAAACGUAAAUCAAUCGAAUGCGAAGAAAGAGACAGUGAGAGUAAGAAAAUCUAUGACAAAAUAAUCCAUCCCUUCGUUUUCGUUCUGAAUAUCGAUGCACGACUUCGGGCCUUCGGAAUAGCUCGCUGCGUGCUGAGACUCAUUAAUAUUAAUUGGGAAGAAUAAUUUAUUCGAGUCUUGAUGAACUUUUAUGGUGUGAAAAUCUAUAUUAAUAUAUGAAUUCAUUGUUCAUUGAAGAUCCAGCAGAGAUUCAUGAAAACGAAAUUUAUUUCAUUUGUUAUAAGUAUUAGUAUAGAAAAAAAAACUUAUUUAUUCAUAUUCGAAAAACUUUAUUUCUUUCCAAUAAAUCAAAGGCCUAAAAUAUCAUCUUUUCAUGAAAUUUAUUAGUUUUCCCAAUGCCAUCUCUCUCUCUUUCUUCGUUGUGUCAUCCUCGCUCGAAACAUCCAACUUUUUUUUCGUAACGAAACGUUUUUUACGUGAUACACAAAAAAAUUCUCGUCUUUUUCGGGUUGUUCUUUUUUAACCCUAUACAAGCAACGAAUCACUGCUUUUGUUUUAAAUCGCUCUCGAAGACACAGUCCUUCCUAUUGACGGACCUGAAAUUUACGAUUUAAGAUCGAUUGAAUCCUUGUCAGGAUUCACAUUACACGUUCAAAGAAUAUAUAUAUAUAUUAUAUAUGUAAUAUUAUAGAACACAAUGCCACCAGCAGCCUCCUCCGCACUUUUAUUAUUGAUAAAUAUUUUAGAAUGUAUUUUACAAUUCAUCAUGAGCGUUCAUAUUUCAAAACCCUAGAUGACGUUCGCUGCAAUUCGCGUUAAUAAUUUUUACUUUUUUCCCUUCUCUCAUGUUAUUUCGCACCGAUUUCGUCGUGAUCGAAAGAGAUUUUGGCCCGUGAAUACUCUCAUCGACAUAGUACACCUGAAAAAACAUCCGCAUCCUCCGAAAAGGGUUUCGGCUUUAUAUUUAUUUAACGGAUAUUAAAACGUAUGAAAACACAAAAUUUUACUGAUAUCAAUGCAUAACCGAGGAAUUCUAUUUCUAGUCAAAUGGGGCCCGAAUUUUUAACAUGCACUCUCGUUAGCCACGCUUCACUUCCGUGAAUUUUUACACUCAUUUUUUUCCGUACUUCACAAAAUACUAAAAUCGCUAGAGAUCUGGCAACAUUUUUCGAAUUUAUUUAUUUUUUUCUGAAUCCAUUUACUACACGAAUGCACUCGACUCGUUAAAUAUUGAUACAAUCCCAUUUCGACUGAAAAUAAGUUCGCUCCGCAUCCAUUUCUAUAUCAAUGCACACAUUUUUAAUUUCGUUGAAUAAUAAUUAUUUAUUUUUUUUUGUUUUCUCAAUUAUCAAACCGAACAAAUUCGUCGAGAGAGAAGAAUGUUUUUGUAAUUGCGUCUCUAAAUUCGAGCUUUCGUGCUCGAUUUUAUUUCCGGGUAUAAAUAUAUGACGUGGUGAUGAAUUUAAGUCGACUAUUGCGCAUGUGGAUAAUAAUGAUAGUUAAUAUAUUGCGUAUAGUUAUUGUACUACUAUGGUUUAGUCGAGCCUAAGAGAUUUGCGGGUCUCUAGUGCUUCUUCAGAGUGUUUUUCGUCCCUUUUUUUUCCAUUACGAAGUCACGCUUUUUUAAAUCUUCCUUUGUUCUCUUAUUUGUACAUCACGUUGAUACGACGGGAGAGAGAAUCAGUGAACCUCGUCGUAAAUAAUAUAUUUGCAACUGAGCUUUAUCCGCUUAUAGAUAGAAUAUAUAGGAAAAAAGAGAUAAAUAUAAAAAAUGAGAAAUAAAUAUCGGACAGUGAUUUUUUACAUUGCUAUACUAGAUGAAAAAUUGUCAUUUACGACCGGAUGAGAAUAUAUCACCUCUGCGAGCUUUAAAGACCCGCAAACUUGGAUGUUCAAAACAUUAUUUAAUCACUAAUCCAAUGAUUAAUUCUUCGUGAUUAAUUACUGUUUAUUAAUAUCUUUAAGCUUCGGUACGAAAUAAAUCUGUACAUAUUGUCAUAAAUGUCGUUUCAGCUCGAUCAUUGUGAGUCAACAAAUGCUAUUAUUAAUUAUAUGCACGAUUUCAAUGGUUAUACACAAUGCUUGAAUAGAGGAUGGAGGAGGGGGAAGGGGAAGUAGAAAAAAUGAUGAAAAUAGAUGAAUGCUUAAGUGAAAAUGUGUAUGUUUGAGUGUUUGAAAGUUCAAGUAGUAACGAGUAAUUGUGGAAUUGACUGUAUUUUUAUGCAUUGUCGCUUCAAUGGGAACUGAAGAUACGAGAUCCAGAAAAAAUUGUUUAACGAGAAAAAAAAAACGAAGACAGGAAUCAACAUUAACACAAAGCAUCCCGACCCCGCUACAUGUAGAAGCAAAAUUGUGUUAUGAUCGAUUUGCUAACGAACGGGAGAGUUAAAGGACGAUACAAAAAUAAUUGCGAUGGGCAUUGAAUUCAAAAUACAAACGAGAAGAUGUGCUAGGAGAGAGAGAGAGAGAGAGAGAGAGAGAGAGAGAGAGAAAGAAAGAGAAAAAGUUCUAUAAUGAGGUUGAGGGAACAGGUAAAUCGCACGAUACUUGGCGGCUGUGACUAAAAAAAGCGACUAAUGUAUUCCUGUUCAUACAUACCGUGCUUAUUCAUACCUGGUUUAUUCAUAACCGAGGUACUCUGAAGCAUUCGUCACGCGACCUUUCAUUUUUUCUCCGUCAUCGCAUUUUUAUGUAUCGCACGUAAAAGCCUGACAAUUUAUCAAUUAAUUCGACAGCCGCCUCCGUUUCAUGCCUAAUCCAUCAAUUCUCAGGCGCUCAGGCUCGUGCUACUUUUAACACGGUCGUAGCUUUUGGGUCUUCGGCUUCUAGAUACGAUACAAUCGUAUCUGAACGCUGAAUAAAUUUAUACGAAUGACGAUUUUUUUUUCAAAAAGCAGUACAUCUUCUGAAGUUAAUUAAACGUAAAAACGGCUUUUCCCAUCUCCAAUAUUUAGAGUUUGUAGCCAUUUCUACUACGUUCUCGUUCUCAUCGUUGCUCACUCGUGAAAUCUUGCCAAUGGAAGACCACAGUCGAAGCGCGGUGGUGCCGAGAGAACGAGAAUUUUUUUCGUAUUCUCAUUACAUAUUUCUGUGAUCCAGUUUAUUUGAUUCUCUCCUAAAUUCAGCCAGCCGUAUUCAUUUGAACGGUUGAAAUGCCACGUGAAAAAUAUUUUCAUCGUGAUAACCCGUCAAUCACGAUGCAAUCUGAACAGUAAAGUCAACUCAUAAACGUGCGGGCCAUCGUCCAGUAUCUGUUUCCUCAACGAUCGUAUACACAUAUGAAAAUACUUAUUAAAUGUAUAUCAAUGUUUCAUUGAAAUUUAAAUCAAUCUCAAAUCGCAUUGAUCUUGUUACACAAUUGUCAAUGUUCGUCAUAGUAUUUACACAAAUCGACGAUUAUGGAAUAUUUAUAAAAAUGACGGUACUCUAGGUACCAAUCAAGCACUGUAGCUACAAAAAUGAGUAAAACGAGAGAAAAAAAUAUAAAAACUCACGCGCGCACGAUGAAAGCCUUGCUGCUACCCCUGUCUCUUGUAACAAAAGAUUUCAAUAAAAAUAAUAAAAACACA